rnacentral:lncRNA from 1 species
UUAUUAGUUUUGUAAUUAAAAACUAUAAUUCUUUAAAUAAGGAUAAAAUUGUAAUUUGAAACAAUUUAUUCCCAAUCCAAGACAAAGGAAACACAUAAAUUGGAUUUUGAUCUCUAUUCCAUGCUUCCAUUCCAGUGUAAGUAAACAACCUACUCCCACUUCCACUCCACACACCCAAUACUAGGAUUCCUAUUCCUCAAGAUUCUCAAUCCAAUCCAAAAAGUAAACGCUACCUAAAAGAUGCAGCUCAAUAUUAUAAUUAAAUUAAGUUGAUGACAAUUUUUUAGCAUGCAUUUUAGACAAUUGAACAAAUUCAAUGUGUAUAUAUAAAGAAAAAUACUGAAAAAUGUUUUGUUCUAUGAAAGAAUGUUGGAAUAUAUAAUCAAAUGGGGGGGGGGGGGGGGUCUUGAAGUGGAUAAAGAUUUGGUAAGUUAUCUCACAUCAUCACUCUGAUUUUAAACAACCAAAUAUCAUAACACAAACAAUGUGUGACCAUGGAAGCUCUCUUAUCCAUAACUUCCACUAUUGGGUUGUGAACAAGUUGAAACUAUAAAGCUUGAACUGAACACACAUUAUUAAUUAUCAUCUUUCACAAAUUGUGUGUGAGCAAUUCAUGGAUGUUCUGUUGUAACCCAGAAGUCUAAUUUCUAAUUCCAAGUUGAGACAUAGGUUGAAAAAGCAUUUUAGAAUAUAUUUUUUUCAUUAACAUUCUUUCUUCUCAAAGCACUGGUGCCUUAUAUUGAAAAAAUAUUAAUAAUGAAUUUUUAAUCGUUAAAAUAACUUCCUAUGCUUUGAUAAAUGAAAUUUUGUUCAUGUGAAAAAGAUGAUGCUGCAUCAUGUUUUAGACAAGCAUGGGGCAAUGUGUGGGAGUCCAAUAUUGUUACACGUUGAAGGGAAAAUUAGAUUUACUUUAAUCCAUGAGUUAAGAGUCCAUGAGAUUACAAUCAUUUAUUGGUUGCAUCCUAAUUGAUAUACGUUAUUUCAAGUGAUAUUGGGUAAAGUCGAGAAGUACUUCACCAGUAAAGCUGCUGUAUUUGAAAUGGAGAAAUUCAUGGCCAAAAAGAAUUCAUUAAUCUAAUUUAAUAAAGUAAUUAAAGUAAUGAUUAAAGAACAUUGUUUUAAUUAAUAACCUAUUAAAAUUUGAAUCAUCAAAAGAAGUUAGCAGCUUGAGUCUCUCUUUCUUCUUAGAAUACGCAAAAGGCUGCAAUUUGAGUUCUAACUUUUUCAGGAAAAUCCUGAAUUCGUGAUAGAUUAAAGUGUUUUUUUUUUUUUUGCCAUUUGUUAAAUUUGCCUCAGACACGAAUUAAUAAUAUGAUAAUGGAUUUUAUUUAGAAGUGCUUAUGGUAUUGUCAAUAGUGAUAUCUAGAAUUAAAGUAUUUGCUUCAAUAACUUUCAAAUAAAUAACUCAUAAGCACUUCUAUGGAGUGUUUCCAUCAAUACUCUAAAGAACUUUUACAAAAAUGCUUUCACCUUGAAAAUAAAUUUUGGAAGAUUACAUUUCAAUUAGUUUUGUUCACCGCUUCUUGAAUAUUUGUUUUCGCAAGUAACUCAAGUGGGCAACUAGAGAUAUAUAUCAUCUAUAAAUUAUAUGCUCUUUGGAUAGGAGAUAGUCAAUAUGCAUGCAUGCAUGUAUGUAUAUAUGUCGUCCUCAAAUUUAUUUAUUUUUAUGCAAACUCGCUAUUAAACUAUAUUGUUUAAUAGAGUCAGUUUUUAAUAUUAUUAAACCGCACGGGUUCAUAGUGAAUUGAGAAUUUACUUUAUUAACCCGCAUGGCUUAAUAGCGUAUCCACACCUAAGAUACACUCUAAAAUACAAAAUAUAUAUAUAUAUAUUUCAAUA